UGGGGAAUAUUGCACAAUGGGCGCAAGCCUGAUGCAGCCAUGCCGCGUGUGUGAAGAAGGCCUUCGGGUUGUAAAGCACUUUCAGCGAGGAGGAAGGUGGUGAGCUUAAUACGCUCAUCAAUUGACGUUACUCGCAGAAGAAGCACCGGCUAACUCCGUGCCAGCAGCCGCGGUAAUACGGAGGGUGCAAGCGUUAAUCGGAAUUACUGGGCGUAAAGCGCACGCAGGCGGUUUGUUAAGUCAGAUGUGAAAUCCCCGGGCUCAACCUGGGAACUGCAUUUGAAACUGGCAGCUAGAGUCUCGUAGAGGGGGGUAGAAUUCCAGGUGUAGCGGUGAAAUGCGUAGAGAUCUGGAGGAAUACCGGUGGCGAAGGCGGCCCCCCUGGACGAAGACUGACGCUCAGGUGCG
rnacentral:rRNA from 1 species